rnacentral:tRNA from 1 species
GCAAUUUUAGUUUAAUUAAAAUGAUAGUUUGUCUCACUGUUGAUGGCCUUUCGGCCAAGUUGCU